rnacentral:rRNA from 1 species
CUGGCUCAGGAUGAACGCUAGCUACAGGCUUAACACAUGCAAGUCGAGGGGCAGCGGUAUCGAAAGCUUUCUUUCGGUAGCCGGCGACCGGCGCACGGGUGAGUAACGCGUAUCGAACCUGCCUCAUACUCGGGAAUAGCCUUGCGAAAGUAAGAUUAAUGCCCGGUGUUUUCAGAGUCCCGCAUGAGGCUUUGAACAAAGAUUUAUCGGUAUGAGAUGGCGAUGCGUCCCAUUAGCUUGUUGGCGGGGUAACGGCCCACCAAGGCAUCGAUGGGUAGGGGUUCUGAGAGGAAGGUCCCCCACAUUGGAACUGAGACACGGUCCAAACUCCUACGGGAGGCAGCAGUGAGGAAUAUUGGUCAAUGGGCGGAAGCCUGAACCAGCCAAGUAGCGUGCAGGAAGACGGCCCUCCGGGUUGUAAACUGCUUUUAGUUGGGAAUAAAACGGGGCUCGUGAGCCCCCUUGCAUGUACCAUCAGAAAAAGGACCGGCUAAUUCCGUGCCAGCAGCCGCGGUAAUACGGAAGGUCCGGGCGUUAUCCGGAUUUAUUGGGUUUAAAGGGAGCGCAGGCGGACCUUUAAGUCAGCUGUGAAAUACGGCGGCUCAACCGUCGAACUGCAGUUGAUACUGGAGGUCUUGAGUGCACACAGGGAUGCUGGAAUUCAUGGUGUAGCGGUGAAAUGCUCAGAUAUCAUGAAGAACUCCGAUCGCGAAGGCAGGCAUCCGGGGUGCAACUGACGCUGAGGCUCGAAAGUGCGGGUAUCAAACAGGAUUAGAUACCCUGGUAGUCCGCACAGUAAACGAUGAAUACUCGCGGUUUGCGAUAGACUGUAAGCCGCCAAGCGAAAGCGUUAAGUAUUCCACCUGGGGAGUACGCCGGCAACGGUGAAACU